AACGCUAGCUACAGGCUUAACACAUGCAAGUCGAGGGGCAGCAUGGUCUUAGCUUGNUAAGGCUGAUGGCGACCGGCGCACGGGUGAGUAACACGUAUCCAACCUGCCGUCUACUCUUGGCCAGCCUUCUGAAAGGAAGAUUAAUCCAGGAUGGGAUCAUGAGUUCACAUGUCCGCAUGAUUAAAGGUAUUUUCCGGUAGACGAUGGGGAUGCGUUCCAUUAGAUAGUAGGCGGGGUAACGGCCCACCUAGUCAACGAUGGAUAGGGGUUCUGAGAGGAAGGUCCCCCACAUUGGAACUGAGACACGGUCCAAACUCCUACGGGAGGCAGCAGUGAGGAAUAUUGGUCAAUGGACGAGAGUCUGAACCAGCCAAGUAGCGUGAAGGAUGACUGCCCUAUGGGUUGUAAACUUCUUUUAUAUGGGAAUAUAGUGGGCCACGUGUGGCUUUUUGUAUGUACCAUACGAAUAAGGAUCGGCUAACUCCGUGCCAGCAGCCGCGGUAAUACGGAGGAUCCGAGCGUUAUCCGGAUUUAUUGGGUUUAAAGGGAGCGUAGGCGGAUUAUUAAGUCAGUUGUGAAAGUUUGCGGCUCAACCGUAAAAUUGCAGUUGAUACUGGUAGUCUUGAGUGCAGCAGAGGUAGGCGGAAUUCGUGGUGUAGCGGUGAAAUGCUUAGAUAUCACGAAGAACUCCGAUUG
rnacentral:rRNA from 1 species